rnacentral:lncRNA from 1 species
CCACCUCCACCAGCUGAUGGAACAAUAGCGCCGAACACACCCAAAAAGAAAACCCAUCUUCUUCUUCUACACUGCCAAAAACCCAAAAAGAAACUGAUGAGCUCCCAGUCGUAUCUCCCAAAAACCAGCGACAGACACCCUACCAAACGAGCAGGCGCUGCCAGUCGCCCAGACUCGCCGAAAAAAGAGAUCAGUGCCUAUCUCCUUCUGUCACCAAACCAGCGGAUAUCUCUCUCACGACCGCCACUUAACGACCACCUUUCCACAUAAGCUCGAAGCCACAACUCACCCCCACUUUCCUCUAUUGAAGCCUCCCCAAGCCUUCUCCAAAAGCAGCAACUAAAAUCCCCUAAAACAAUCCAAACUUCAGCUUACCAAGGAGCUAAAACCAGUCUCUAAACUCUAAUGGAACAACAAGAGUAGCAAGAGACGAUUUUGAAAGAGAAAUUUCGGGGAGAAAGAUUAGUUUCUUUUUGUUCUUAAUUUUGCUUCAAAAAUCGGGAAAAAAUCAAAAGCAUUAUUUUUCUUCUGGAUUUUGUUCAAAUAGAGUUCAUUGAAGCGAAGUCGAGUUUGCUGUUCGAAUUUGGUUGCUAGUUCGAGUUCCUGCUUAUCUAUUGCUGUUCGCUUCAAAUAUUUAUUGCCGGAUUUCAUUUGAUUGCAAUCAAACGAAGUUAAUCAAGAAUUUUCUUGCAUAUUCAGUCAGAUUCAAUUCAUUGGUGUUUACUGUAGAUGAUUUCUCAUUAAUACUGGGGAGUUUAUUAUUGAGGUCCAUUUCUACUCUCAUCUCAUAUGUGCUUUGCCCUUUUCCUUAUUUUAUUUCUGAUUUUUGAGUAUUUCAUGCCUUGUUCCAUUGUCUUAAUUUGCUUCCUUAGUUUACUAUAUUCUGUGGUAUUGUAGUCAAUUUUGUAGUAGACCAAUGUGAAUUAAUUGGUGUUAAGCUUGAAGUGAUUCUGAAAUAUUAAGGCAAAUGGGUUACAAUUUGAUAAAUAAGACAAAAAUUGAAUUCGAUCAAGGGUUGAUUUAACACAUACAUGGAAUUUUAAGGCAAAUUUGAAUGUGCAAGGAAGGAGAAUUUAAUAAUUCGAGCUUUAGAUGAUUCCAUUAUUUCUUUAUUUUUAUAUAUUAACUCGGUUGCUAAAAAUAUGUUUAGGCUGACCAUACUUGCGUAGACAAGCUUUAGGAUUUUUGUUAGUUUUUAGGCGAGAGGUUGUUUCCUUAGUUAAAUUCAUCUGGGGAAUGCCCCGAAGGAUUUGUAUAUAUUUUACUUUGGAAAAUGUCGCGUAAUAUUCUUUAAUUGGAGGCCAAAAGCAAACUCGUAAUACUUUUAUUUCUAUUUUAUUUUUAAUUUUAUCUUUCUUUUAUUAGGUGAGAACGAUCUUGAGCCUCUUAUCUAUUAAUUUUCCUGUUUUGUGUUUAUUUAGUCAAUACAAUUAUUUUAAAAGUCAGCUUGAUCAUGUACGCAACCGUACUAGUUACGGAACUCGGGGAAUGCCUAACACCUUCUCUCCAAGUCAAAUGAACCCCCUUAUCUAGAAUCUCUGGUGCAAACUGGUUUAAGAGUCAAAUGUGUUUUAAAAGAAAAUUGUUUUUUUUAUAAAAAGAAUGGUGACCUGGCACACUGAAACUAACUGUCAGGUGAUGCACUGAAAAAUCCUUCAAAGUGCAAUCUUUUGUCACUUUUCAAAUUGAAAACCUUUUUGAGCUUCACUUUUAGUAUUUUAAAGAGGGUUAGUGGAGAAAAAAAUGGGUAUGACAACUCUGGCGACUCUACUGGGGACUUACAGGUUCGAGCUGAUACUUGAUCUUGUUGGCUUUUAGCUAUUCAGUUGAGGUGUUUGUUUUCUUUAUUUGCUUUUUUUAUUUGGCUUGUUUGUCUUUUUUACUGUUUUGUUGGUUAUUUAUUUAUUGAUUUUCCUUAUGUGUUUACCGCUUUAUAACUAUCAUUAUUUGCAUAGCAGUAGGUUUUCUUUCUGCAAUAAGUCUUUCGGAGUACGUUUUAGCGUAAAAGGUCUUUUUGUGAGUCACUCAUAUCUAUGGGGGUGGCGUGGGAGUAUGGAGUGGGAGGAUAGCUAGAACAGCCGCCAUCGAUCACGUGUCGUCCCGAAUUGCCUUGUCUAGUGAACCCCAAACUUAGGUAAGCCUAUAGGUCAUUUUUAUUUGCAUCAGGUCAUUUAGACCUAGCAGGGCUCGGUCUCAGGCAUCAUGUUCCUUUAUAGGAGGCUUAUCCAAAUUGUGUUAAAUGGCCAUGGUCCAAAAAGAUAUUCAAUCAUCCCUAUGUGAUAUCUGUUGCAUCUUUGAGGGUAGAAAGGUCAUUUGACAGACUGAUAUUUGGGAAAGAGGGUAAAUAAAAAAAUGAGGCAAGUAGGGUCCAAUUAUGUUUUUCUUUCAUAACUUUUUCAAGAAAAAGACAACCAAAAAAAUGAAAAUGAAAAAUCCAAAAACAAUUUGCGCUUCACAUCAUUUUCCCAAAAAAAAAUCCAAAAUGAUUAUACAUGUCUAAUUAUUUUUCAAAAAAGACAAAAAAUAUAUUUUCUCCAAAUCAGUGUUUUUGUUAAAUCUCCCCUAUAUGCAAUCUUCCCAAACUACGCAUACCCGAUUCUUGUGUUUCAGGGCGGGAUACAUAGGCAUCCCACAUAGGAUCCAGUCUUCGUAGUAAAUCUUAGGUUCUUGGCUUCUCGAGAUCUUAGCCAAAUCUUGCAUGUCUGGCCACAUCGGUUGUUUUUGCGAAAUAGGGUAUUUUCUAAAAGUGGUUUGUUAUCCCAUGUCUUAGAGACCUAAGUCCACAGCAAGGUGUCUUCUCAGUUUUAAGGUCCAUUCCUAUUGAAUUACAUGUCUAGCCAUUUUGGCCACAUCUGCUAUUCUUGCAAAAUGGAGUCAUUUUCACGAAAGUGGUUCAACGACCCAUGUCUUAGGUCCUAAAUCCACAAAAAUGUGUCCUCUUUAUUUAAGUUCCAUUUUGUUGAGUUUGCACUUCUAGCCACCUUAUAGCCACGUAGAUCGUUUUGCAAAAAUAACCUUAAUCAUAUCUUGAACGUGUCCAAUAAAAAGAGUUAUUAUCUCAUAUAGUGUUCUAAUGCUUUAAUUCUAUUUGAUCUUAUUUUUGAAUUCAUGUAUGGAUUCAUUUACCAUCGCUUGAGCAUGACAAUUAAUAGAUACCCCAAACCCAUUCUACUCAUGACCAUUAAAAAUAGGAGCUGCUUGAGGAGACUUUUUUUUUUUUUAAUGUUUUUUAGUUUGUUUUUCAUGUUUUACUUUCUAGUCUUGUCUAGUAAAAUUGAGUCUUUUAGAUGGCGUCAGAGUCUGUUGUACUCAAGUUGAGUUUGUUGAGUUUUUGUUAUCGUACUUCCUAUUUUGUAUUUUUGAAAAUAGAAAAACCAAAAAAAAUAUUAUUAUGAAAAAUUCAAAAGAUUUUUGUUUUUAGUUUCUUUUUCCAAUUACUUUUGCUGAACUACGCUUGAUCUAAUUCAUGAGGGACAUGAUACGUAGUCAACCUACAUAUGGUUCGACCGAAUUAUUUUUUAAAAUUAAAAAAAAAAGAAAAAAAAAGAUGAAAUUGUGGAUGUGAGAAGUGAGAGGAAAGAAAAGAGUGUUUAUCAGAAAGAAAAAAGAAGAAGAAAUAUUAGCGAGCCAAGACGUGCUAGAAAAGAAAGAAAAGAUAAGAUUGAAAUGAACAAGAUUGGGAUGAUGCCAAAUGACUUUGUAACCCUCGAAGUCAUUCUAGAAUCGUUAAUUGUUGCUAGUUACAUUGCACGAGUGAUAUUUCUAUCUAAUAAAUAUCUUAUCGCUAACAUUUUGGCUUUGUUUUGCUCAUCUUUGUUACUUUCACUAUUAUCAUAACAGAGGGUGACUAGUUUGUGGCAAUUUGGCGAUUUAUCUAUACAACACAAGGUCAAAGAGCAAGGAAGCCAUGACUAGCAAAUACUUGGAGAUAUGUGUUGAUUCGCCUAAGGAGAUUGUUGAAUCAGAAUCUGAGUUGAAAGAAGGGUCCUAAGGCUGAAAGGACAGAUGGCCGAAAUGUACCAAGUUGGGAUUAGUGGGUUUCCUCCACCAUUAUUUCCCACUAACUACACUGAACGCCUUAUCACUCCGCCAUUGUCACAAAUCAAGGUUCCCACUGGUGCUGACAUCUCCCCAUGACCUUUUCAUACUCCACUCUCUAAAAUCACCUCAUAUCCCGCUCCUUUGACCACUCAGGUUUUUGCAGCCCCUCCACAAGCUACCCUCCAUCGAGCCUCUGGUGAGCCCGCAUUCUAAGGUUCAGAUAUUCAACACGAUGCCCCGGAAUCCACUUUAUAAAUCCUGGAUCCUUACUCCUACACUCCUUACUUUGCGCCUCAUGUUAAAAUUGAGAAACCACCCAAGAACGCGGAGCAAGAGGAGAUGUUUAAGAAAGUAAAAAGCCUGGAGCAAUUAUUGACAAAUAUGCAAGGGUUAGGAAGCCAGGUGAUUUGUGGCUUAUAAGGAUUUGUGUUUAUUCCUUGAUGUCCAACUGCCUGCUGGGUUCAAGAUGCCCAAGUUUGACUUGUAUGACAGACACAUGGAUCUCGUAGCUCAUCUGAGAGGUUAUUGUAGUAAAAUGAGAGGCGCUGGGGGCAAAGACGAACUACUGAUGGCGUACUAUAGCCAGAGUCUUAGUUGGGCAUUUUUAGAAUGGUACACCCGCCAGGAUGCUGGCAGGUAGUACAUGGGAUGAUAUGACCUAUGCCUUUGACCGGCACUUUCAGUAUAAUAUAGAAAUUGUCCCGGAUCACAUGUCCCACACUAACAUGGAAAAGAGGCCUAAUGAAAGCUUUAGGGAAUAUAAGUAAGAUGGAGACAACAAUCUUCCCGAGUCAAUCCUUCGAUGGAAGAAGAUGAAAUAGUUGAGUACUUUCUUGAAGCUCAAGAGCCUACAUACUUUGGGCAUUUGAUCUCGGCUGUAGGUAAGCCUUUUAAUAAUGUGGUAAAAAUAGGAGCAAUGGUAGAAAAUGGGCUAAAGUCAAGCAAGAUCAUAAGCUAUUCUACUUUAAAAGCCACAACACAGGCAAUUCAGAAUGACACGGGAAGCUUGCUGGGUCAAAAGGAACAUUGUGAUGUUGCCAUGAUUGUCUCAAGAUCACGAUAUGGCCAAACGGGUCCACCUCACCAAUAUACUCAGCCUCGACCCCGACCCCAACAAAUCUAUCCCCGAUCUCCACAUAAUCCAUCUCAGUAUUAUCCUCCAAAUAAUGUUCGAUCAUCUGUCCAACCACUAAGACUCCCUAGAAGGCGAGCACCAGCACUGCAAAAAAUCUCCACUAGCCUCCACAAAAUUUUCAAAUGCCCUAUAACCCACAUCCAAGCUAGGGUUAUAGAGGGGAACAAAGGUUAACAGAUAAUUUUACACCAAUAGAAAAGUCCUAUUCAGGCUUGUUUGAGAAAUUAAGGCAUUAUGACAUGAUUGCACCUAUUCAUCCAAAUCAUGCGGACCCACGUGCAAGAAGCUUCGACCCUUCUAAAAGGUGUGAAUACCAUUCCCAUGCCCAGGGGCACAAUAUUGAAGAUUGUAAUGCUUUGAAUAGGGAAAUAGAAAUAAUGAUUCAAGAAGGGAUAAUUGUGGUCUAAGGCAGCAAUAUCCUAAGUGUCACACAUAAUCCUUUACAUAACAACCCUCAAAUUGUUGGGAUGAUUUGCAAUGACGAAGGGUUGGUUAAAGGAGCCAAUGAACCACCUGGUGAAGACAAUGUGAUCGAAGUUGGUGAAGGUCCUAGUAAUGUUGAUAUGUAACUCAGUGGCUAAGAUGUCGAGCUUGGUCAUUGGAAAGACACUCCUUUCUUGUCUAGCCAAGAAGGAGUUUUGGUGGUUUAUUUUGUUGUCAUUGCUAUCGUCCGGGUUAUAUCAGGGUUGUAAUUUGGAUAUGAUCUUGUGGCUCAAACCUGUCUUCUUCUUCCUCUUCUAAUUUUGUCUAGUUCAUUUUAUUGUAGUAAUUUGUGUUGUGUUAGUUCUAGAGUUGUAACCUAUGUCUAUUCUGCUUGUUUUGUUGUAGCCCUUUUCACCGUCUGUCUAAUGCAAUCCCUUAUUUUCUGUUAGUUCUAGUCAAUUUUGUUUAGGUAACUUUUCCUUUUAUUGUUCUUUCUAUGCCGAAUAUAGUGACUUAAUAUGCACUCAUAAUUCUCAGCCUGGUCUUGGAAGUUAGUAUAAUCACGAAGCAAUGACACAGUUUUGAAUAUGAUAGAAGUAUGAAUUUGAUGAAACAAGUAAAGAUUCACGCAUUCGGAGAUAACCCGCAGCUUGAACAGAGUGAAACUAAGGCAGUUAGUCUGGGAAAUCAUGAGGUUCAUAAGAGCAUAUAGCAAGGAAAUGUCUCUCAAGUAGUUUGAGGUAGAUCAAUUAGUGAUGAAUGCGUUCUUCCACAUCAAGAUAAGGUUGAGUCAAGUUUGCUUCGAACUAGAAAGAGUCUUUCAUUGGGACAAAGGUAUUGCUAUU